rnacentral:misc_RNA from 1 species
UUUUUUUUUUUUUAAAGACUAUAUAUGCUAAUUGAAUUGUUGAAUUUGAUGAUGCCGUGCAGCAAUAUGAUAGUUAAUCAUGUGAUCUGAUGCUAAAUGUUUAGUUUGAUGAUGACUUUAACGACCCAAGUUCUCACAUUGUGAAUUCAUCGUGAUUAGUGUUGUCAUCAUGGUAAUAUCUCUGAUCCUUCUUUCUAGAUCACAAUGUAGAAAUAUGAAUCAAAUCACCCUGAUUGAAGAUAUUCAUUUGAAUAUCGAAGUUUCCAACAUUCUAAUUCUAAAACUCGAGGAAAGCAACGGAGUACGGCACUUACGCGUGUUUUUCCUUACGCGAGAGACCAGACCAUACCAAUUAUGAAGUUGACCCUUCGACGCGAAGUAAUUUCUGUAUCUUAUCCUUAUCAUCACGUGGAUAAGAGAAGAAAGAAGUUGCAGGCGGAUGAAGCAAUCAGGCAACCUCCAAGAAUGUACCGUCAGCUUACGCACUGCAUUGACCACUUCUCCAUGCUGUUUGUUCUUCAACUGUGAAAAAAAAAAAAAUCAAACAUUCUCAUUCGCACUACCUAUAUCAAAUCCUCACCGUCCAUUUGAACAGAAAAAAAUAUAAAAUUCAAAACCAUCUACCUGAAAACAAGCAUGCCCCGUAUGCAAAACUAAACAAGCCCCAAUUCUUGAUUCACCGUGCUCCUUCUUCUUCAAUGUCUUCCUAUACCAGAUCAUACUCAUCUCAGCAGUCCUAUGCCCCUUCUGCACCGUCCCUGCCCGACUCUUUUGACCAGCAGGACCACUCAUAUUAUAGUUCUCCUCCUCCUCAUCCAAGUGACUACAUUCGGCAGCAGCAGCAGCAGCAUCAACCGCCACCUUCUUAUGCGGCAGGAUAUGGGCAGAGUGAGUACUCUUAUGGGUACUCUGGUUUUGCACAGGGGACACAUCCAGAUGUGAUUAGGAGCUUUCAGAUGGUGGAUAGGGACAGAAGCGGAUAUAUCGAUGAGAAUGAGUUGCAACAAGCUCUCUCUUCUGGGUACCAGCGGUUCCAUAUUAGGACUAUUAGGCUUCUUAUGUUUCUCUUCAAGAAUCCAUAUGAUCCUCUGCGAAUUGGUGAGUUUUAAAAUGAUUGAUCACGGGACAAACUAAAGCUUACUAGUAUUCUGGAUUAGAUAAUAUCUUGUUAUUAAUUUGGAAAUUUUGAUUUUUGAGACUGGGUUUUCUGGUGCUUCUCAUCUAUCAUCAUUGAAUUUUAUUUUUUGCUUGAAAUUGGAGAAACAUAUCUAGAUUUUACAUGGGUACUUUUCAUUUUUGUAAGAAUAUGUUUUUGGGAUAUGCUUGUGUUUCUUUAUGUAUUUCACAUUCUUGACUUUUAGUUAAAAUUAGCUUUAAUCGUUGUAACAAAGAAAAGAGAGAAAUAAAAGGUUUUGAGCUUUCUCUUUGAAGUUCAUUUAUUUGUUCAAAUUGGAUGGCUUUUACUUUCACAUCGUUGGGAAGGUAUAAUUACAAAAUAAUGUUGUCGGCUUUACUUUUUAAUACAGGGCCUAAAGAGUUUGCUGCUUUGUGGAGUUGUCUUGGUCAAUGGCGAGUAAUAUUUGAGAGAUAUGAUAAAGACAGGAGUGGGAAAAUUGAUUUGUUUGAACUGAGGGAUGCUCUUUAUGGCAUUGGUUAUGCAAUCCCACCUUCUGUUCUUAAAGUUCUGAUUUCCAAGUAUGAUGAUGGAAGUGGCAGAAAGAUUGAACUUAACUUUGACAGUUUUGUUGAGUAAGUUUUCUCAUUUAAAAUUUUUCUGAUAACGUUUUUUUUUAACGAAUUUUAAAUCUGAUUAUGUAUCUGUGUUUUGUGGUGUCUGAUUUGGAGAUGCGGCAUGAUCCUUAAGGUGAGACCCUAACUCUGGACUCUUGUUAUAUUCAACGGCUUAUUUCACUGCAUCAUUUUUGUCCCUAAUGCACCCUUAUAGAAUGAAAUUGUAAUUAGUUAUUAUGUGUGUGUGUGUGCACUGCUAGUUGAUAUGUUUAAUUUUUCAGUUGCAGGUUGUUUUUCAUGAUCUUGAUAUUCAUUUUUAUGUGAUUUUCAGGGGUUGACUGAGAAAUUUAAGCAGAAGGAUUCGCGAUAUACUGGCACAGCAACCUUCAAUUAUGACGAAUUCAUGUCCACGGUCAUUCCUUUUCUUGUAUCAUAUGAUUGAUUAUGAAACUUCUCAUGUUAUGAUCUUUGUUUAGCCUUCUCCCUCUGCCCACUCUCUCUUUUUCCAAGACUUGUAAUGGUUCAAUUAUUUGAUUUUUUUUUUCUCGGUGAACAAAUUGUCCAUUGAGUUGAGUUUAUUUGAGAGAAUAUGAAUACUCUAAUCAUCUCUCACUACAAUUUAGGCCUAGUUGGUUCAGCUGUUGGCGAUCAACGAUCAGCAGCUGGUAACAGGGUUGUCUCUGUAUCAUUUUGAUACGCUGAGAAUUAUGAAAUCUCAUCAAGUUCUUGAGCUAAAA